UACAGAGGGGGCAAGCGUUGUUCGGAAUUACUGGGCGUAAAGGGCGCGUAGGCGGCCUUCUAAGUCAGACGUGAAAUCCCCGGGCUCAACCCGGGAACUGCGUCUGAGACUGGAAGGCUCGAAUCCGGGAGAGGGAUGUGGAAUUCCAGGUGUAGCGGUGAAAUGCGUAGAUAUCUGGAGGAACACCGGUGGCGAAGGCGGCAUCCUGGACCGGUAUUGACGCUGAGGCGCGAAAGCCAGGGGAGCAAACGGGAUUAGAUACCCCCGUAGUCC
rnacentral:rRNA from 1 species